CAAACUUAUCCACUUGUGAUGUUGCGCCAAUUUUCGAGUACAGAGUUUUUUCUCAAUGAUAAGUUUCGUAUUUUUCGGUGCAUUGUGUGAUCGGUUUUUAAAUUCGCUUUUCAUUCAAUUCGGGGAAAUACCGGAAAGUUUAUGGCAUUAACGGAAUCAUUAUUUUCGAUUUUGUUAGUCUGUCCGCUCCGCAUAAUAAUGACCGUAGAAACUUAAAAUUUCGUGCUUAACACUUAUAUUAGCGUUGUCUAGACUCGGCCAAAUUUGCAAUAUGUUUUCGGCGAUUUUUGGACUGUUUAUAGGAAUUUGGUUUUAUGUGGAUAAAAGUUUUACGGCCAAACAGCAAUGUUUGAAAAUUCCACAUAAAAUCCAUACUAAACAAAAAGCUGAGUAGAAGGCGGUAGGUGUUUUUUCAUAAGCGUUUCUAGUUAGAUUUUUAACGAAAAUCGUAAAAAUCUCAACAGCAUUUCGCUAUAAAAACCGGUGUUUCGUUAGCAAUAAUUAUUAAUCGUUACGCGCAGUUAUAAAUGUAAUAAACUUAUACGCACCGUACCUUCGUAACUUCAAAUUUCACUAAUUAUGCACGUGUCACACCUUAAUUCACGUAUAAACAGAAUGCGAUUUCAAAAUUUACUCA